GAUGAACGCUGGCGGCGUGCUUAACACAUGCAAGUCGAACGGAAAAGCCCUGCUUUCUUGGGGUUCCCGAGGCGCGAGCGGGUGUAUAACAUGUGAGUAACCCGCCCUUGACUGGGGGAUAACUUGAGAAAACCGGGGAUAACACCGGAUAGGAGCUCCUGCUGCAGGGUGGGGGUUGGAAAGUUUCGGCGGUUGGGGAUGGACUCGCGGCUUACCAGCUUGUUGGUGGGGUAGUGGCUAACCAAGGCUUUGACGGGUAGCCGGCCUGAGAGGGUGACCGGCCACAUUGGGACUGAGAUACGGCCCAGACUCCUACGGGAGGCAGCAGUGGGGAAUAUUGCACAAUGGGCGGAAGCCUGAUGCAGCAACGCCGCGUGCGGGAUGACGGCCUUCGGGUUGUAAACCGCUUUCAGCUGUGACGAAGCGUGAGUGACGGUACCGGCAGAAGAAGCACCGGCUAACUACGUG
rnacentral:rRNA from 1 species